GGGACAGAAACCAAAGGUACCCGACAUUAGUAGACGUACAGAUUAUUGUCAGCUGAACAAAGUGAUUUAUACUGAUGUGUGGAUAUCUGUCUUCUUUUUAGUAACUGCUAAGGCACUUCCAAAAUUAUCUAGCCAGUCCAGAAUAAGCUCAUGUUGUCGUUUCCUCCUUGAUAGCUCUGCAGAGGUUCAGGUGUAAAGCAAGACUCAGUGUGGGGCCUCUGGAUGGCAGCUGACAGAAACAGCUGAUAUCAUGAAUUUAGAUGAGGCCUAAAAAAAUCCAACCGGCACCGAACCCAGACACUGUGUCUGAGUCUGGUCAGACCCAUCUAUUGACAUUAACACAGCAGAUUCAAAGGAUUGUAUGACCUCCUCAUACAAUUGGUGGCCACCAAAUGCUCCAGAAACUUGUUAAACAUCCCUUCAUUCAAGUCAGGUGUUUGGAAUCAAGGAAACACCUAAAACAGUGGACAGGGGCGCCGGCAAGGUAUUAUCGGAAGGUACAAUACCAUCACUGCACCUGACCAACAACAGCACAACCACCAACC